rnacentral:lncRNA from 1 species
GGAAAUGUGAUUCCUCACAGGUGAGGAGGACCCCACCAAACCCAAGGUGAUGGGCAUCCCGUGAUGACUGCUGUUCCUUUGAGAGCUGCUGUUGGGAGGUCAACUUGGCACCCUGAUUUUGCCUGAUGCAGAGGGACUUGUGACUGUCGUGAGGGAGGUAUGACAGUGGCAACCAGCCUUCUGGCACCUCUGUGAUCAGAAAUGGCAAUCAGUGAUCAGAACAGAGAUCCCCAUAUUUGGAGGACAUAAUCCUAAUUUCCCACCAUGGCUCCUGCACGCUGCAUGCAGGCAGCUCCAGAAACAUGGGCACAGCUCUGUGCCAGGGUGGAGGGUGGACAGCAGGUAGCUGCUACUGUGCUAAGAAUUGAAACCCAUAGUAAUGAUUACCAUCUUACCACCCAUGCCUUCCCUCAACAUACCUGAACAACAUACCCUCCAUAGACCUUCAUCAGACAGAUUCUGCUAGGGCAGUUGGUUAGGUGGAGAGAUCACUACUCUGCCAUUUUCCAGCAUCUUCCUCAUAUAGCUUCCAUCUUGAAGCUACCCAUGUACUUCUUAAAUGUGGUUGAAUAGAAACUCUGUAGGUUAUUGGCUGUGAGGACCCUCAUUCAUCCGAUAACUACACUCUAUUGUUUUUCAAUGUCCACCUUAAAGACAUGCCUUCUUCAAGAGCACCUUGAGUCUGUCCGGAAGGAGUUCAUAAUUUUCAACAGAGAAAAGUAAGUAACUGCUGGGGGAACAACAGUUUAGAAAAUGAUGCUGUUUUAGCCAGACUCUGUUUGCAGAAACUCAAUGUAUUUUUAACACUUUUUAUUUUUCCUAAUGACAAAAACGAUGCACAUCUAUUAUAAAAAUCUUGGAGAAUUCAGGAGGCUUUUUAUUUGUAAAAGAAUUUUUCAAUAGUAAAUUAUCCUCACAUCGACUUUUUGUUCUUGGGAACUGCGGAGGAAUUGGGAUAUAAAUGCAAAGAUAUUUUAAGGUUUUCUCGACUCAUACCUCUUUAUAAAUUGUUGAUCUUUGUUAUCAUUUCAAAAGUUCAAACUUUUGGAUUUCAAAGAAUAAAACUCUCUCUCUCUCUCUUUUCCUUUAAGAGUUAAAAGAGACUUUAAUAAAAGUCAAGCAAAUCUAGCCUUGGAACAAACCAAAAAACCACAGGAAGAGGAUGGCCACAAUAACAACCUGUAAAGGCCUCUGCAUCUUCUUCCUUACUUGGGACUUCUCAAGUUCUUGCCACCCCACACCUCAUGAUGUAGACAGUGUGACAAUGACUAUCCUGUGAAGCAGGCAGCAUGCCAUGGAAAGUCCUGGGCCUGAGCCCCUGGGAUCUGACUUCACCACUGAUUCACUGUGUGACUUUGAGCAAGUCAUUUAUCCACUUUCUGUGCUUCAGUUUAUUCAUCUAAAACAAGAGGGUUGUACUGGAGGACCUGCACCUUGCCUUUAGUGCUGCAAUUGUUAUUCUAAAUGGCCUUUAUCUUAAAGGGAUAUCUGCAGAUUUAUUUUUCCAUUCCUCUGACUACACUGUGACAAAUGAACAUCGGACACAAUGAGCCUCUUCAGAGCUGGAAAAUUUCCUAAGACAUCAGAAUCCCAAAGACUGAUUGGAUAGAAAUAAGGAAUCCAAAGAGGAAGAAAUUCAUAGGGUCAGAUAGAAGUAACAGGUGUAUAGGACUUUCAGCAGAGUGCUGGGUCAGCUCCACAUUGGUUUCUAUCAGCUGGUAAGAGCCUACUGUGCACAUGGCUCCCCAACUUCCUUUCAGUGAGAUGAUAUUGGCACCUUGUAAUCAGUGAUGAUGAGAGGAUUUAUGCCAUGGGAUGAGCAAAUGCUACAAAUCAGGGCACCUUUUUCCUUUUAACAAGCCAGUUGUUGAAUAGUAGCACACCAUUUGCCUUCUUCCAGUAUGCAUGUUCCUUGAGGGCUAAUUGUCCUCUGAAGAUUAGCAGAGCCUGCAUCUGGAUAGGAUCAAGAACAUCUUUACAUGACAAUGUUUACUUUAUGUCUCAGUGAAGUCACACUGUACAGGGUGGUUAUAUAGUAAGUUAGAAGUGCAUUUGGAAGAUGUAAGACUUGCCUUUGAAAACCACCUUCAUUACCCACAAUAUAUGGGAAAUAUCUUCUCAAUGAAGCCUAAGGAAUGAGUUGCCAUUCUGUAAAGAAACAAGUCACUCUUGUGCUCUUUAUUUUUUGUUUCAUUUUGGCUAAUACGAGGUGAAUUAAAAUACUGAACAUCUUUUAUAGUCUAGAAAUACCCUUAGGACAGUGGGAUGCUCACCCAUGUGAGAGGUCAAGUUCAUGGAGACUCACCAUGGGAACGGCAGGAACAUGUUUUCUACCCUUAGGACGACUGAAAAAUUGGCAGGCAGAAGUGCCUAAUUAUUUAAAAUAUUAUUGGUUUCUCUUUUUCUUUACAUUUUAUCUAUUUAUUUGCCAAGUUUAAUUCACCUAAGUUUGCAUGUAACUCUACUGUGAUGAUAUCUUUGCAGAACUAUUUUUGGGUAGAGUCAAGGCUUUAGCAGGAUUGUUUUCACGUCUCUGCUACUCAGAUCAUCUAAACCUUAGCUGCGAAGGGAGAGUAGGGCCUCACCAGUAACCUGGCAACCAGGAAGACCAGACUUGCACCCACUUGGGAAACCAGACAGGUGCAAAUAGACUAGAGAAGUAAGAGACAUGGCUGCAUGCCUGCCUCACAGAGAUUGCCAGAGGGGGGCUGCACGGGGGUGACUAAGCAUGGGUAGGAAGCCAGUGCUGAACUACAGUUGAGUAUUCAUGGUUUUCUCCUCAUUGAGUAAUGGGCCCAGGAUUUCUGGCACCGAUAUGAAAUAGUGCCUCUCUGAUUUGAGAACAACCAUAUUUUGGGUUAAAGAAUCGAAAUAUAGCUCUUUUCCUCUUCCGUUCCUUUUCCCUCAGUUCCCAUUCCUUAUUUGUCUGCAAUUUUGUUUUUCUCCAAACACUAGAAACUCAAAGCACUUGCUUGACCCACUUUCAGAGUGGAGGGUGGGUUGAAAAGAGCAACCACAAGAAGGCCACCAGAUUCUGCUCACAGCUGGCCACCUCUGGCGAAUCAGGAGCCAGGUGCACAGUUUCCAGCUUCCCUCUUACGGUUGUCUUUAUUCAAACCCUGAUGUGCCCUUGACUCACCUCUCCUGUCACCUGGGUCCUCCUCUGCAUUCCCCCAAAGGAGAGGCUUUUCAGAAAUGCUUACCAAAGGACAGUGGGACCAGGAGGCUCUCCAUGAUGGUGAGAACAGAUCACGUGUGGGGCUGCACAUCUGUAUGAUUUAAGGUAGGGUAGGAACCCAUACAAUCUCUGUAGCUUGAAUCUCUACUUUCUAUACCCAGAACACUGCAGUCGACUUUCCGAAUCAUGAACACACUGAUAAGAAAGCUCAGUGCUGUCCAGAUGACUGACAUGCAGUGUGCUUCAUAUUAGAAAAGAAAAAGCACCGGGCUGGGUCUGUGGCUCAAUGGUGGGUUUGAAACUUAGAACCAUAGAAAACAAACAAGAAAAGGCACUGCAUCUGAUAGCAUGAAGUAAGUCAUUCUAACUGCCUCCUACCAUGUGAAUUUAAAGACAAGAAAAACUUUUCCAAAAACAAAUUGUAAACCUUUCCCAAAGUUCUUAUGGUGGUUGCUAGUUAUGGAAAUCAGAUCCUUUAGUUUUAUUCCAUAAUUUGGGCUAAUAGUCAAUUCCCCAUUGAAUGGAAUAUGUCUCAUCUAGAUUGGGAACGAGGCUCAGGGAUGAGAAUUUUAGAAACCUGCAUCCUUUGGUUUGCCUUUCUGGAAGAUUUUUCUCCAACAGCAUCCUCCCUUACCUAAAGAGAGCAUCUGAGGUAUCCUAGCAGAUUCUGAAGACCAGAGCAUCCUUUUUCUAAAACUCCUACAAGGCAGCAGAGCCUCCAGCUCCAGGAUAUUCCGUGACCUCCCCUGAAGUGGGGCAGCCCAGCCCUGCAACCCUGAUCGUGACCCUAAUUCCAUGGGAAUAAAUGCUCUGCUAAUGACUAACACCCCCUCUGAAGCAGCACUAGUUUGGGCUGAGGUCAUUGUGAGGGCAGCGUGAACUUCAAGCAGCACAGACCAUUACAAGAUUGAUUAUAAUAAUCUAAUUAAUUAGUGGCUAGGUUUCAUCUGAUAGGAAAAUUUUAAUCAGAAAUGACUCAAUUUUCUGUCAUUAUAGUCCUAGAUUGGAUGGGUGAAUACAUAAUUAGGAAGAAAGAGCAUUAAUGUAGCUAUUAAUUCGUCAGUGUUGCAGCUUUUGGCUGGUGUAGAAACGCCAGGGGUUCAGCUCUUCGGAGGCUGAACCAAAAGGCUUGGAAUGCAUUGUGAGUUUGUUUCAGUCCCGGUAUUUGUCCAUAGAAAAUCCUGUUUCCUACUUUUGUCCACCUGUGGUUAUUGUUUAUUACAAGCUCAGUGUGUGUCUGGCUGAUAUUAAACAUUGAUGUGAAAAAUACACACUUUGGUUUUCUGUGCUUUUGUGAACCAAUGGCUGAUCUGGCAGCCCUCGAAUGAGAAAAAAUUGCUUCUGUUGAGCUGUAGCAUGUGCAAUGUCACUGUGCCUGCAUGUAUUAAAAUGUCUUAUGUAACAGUAAGCCA